CGGGGUGUAGCUUAGCCUGGUAGAGCGCCUGCUUUGGGAGCAGGAGGUCGCGAGUUCAAAUCUCGCCGCCCCGACCA
rnacentral:tRNA from 1 species